GUUUCCAGUACCGAGCCCAGCAGUGCGCCAACGCGUCAGGAAAAGGAGAGGUUGGAAAGUGUCAUUCACACUGAAUGAGGACCUGACCAGCCUGUCUGCAUUUGGGGAGAAGGCAGCGUCAGUACGAGCCCCACGGGACCAUCCAAUGACCAUGCACAGUGUAGGGGGAAAGACUCUGGCUGUGUUCACUGAAAGCUCUGCAGGAAAUUGAUCAGGAGUGAAACUACAGUACCAGUCAAAAGUUUGGACACACCUACUCAUUCAAGACAUGGACAGAACCGACAGGAGCACAGCCCUCGGCCUGACAACCAUCACAUGAUCGCUCCAGUAGAGACAGAUAAGAGAGCAGGUCUGAGGGGGAUGAAUCAAUGUCAAAAAUCCCGUGACUCACUCCCAGUGCUGAGAGGUGUUCGGGUGGAAUGCUCAGUGAUUCACACAGGGAUUUGGACUGAAGACACACAGCCGACCCAGACGGCUACAUUUCCUACAAGCUGCCUCACAGAACUAGAGGCUCGGCAAAGACACACUCCAACCCUGAAGAACAUUAGCAACAGUAGCAAUGCGCAUGCCCCACCCGCAGGCAUCUAUUUUCUGUGUUUGAGGGAUGCAAAAUCUAUUUGUCAGUUAAAUCUCACGGAUUGAUUGCUUUCAUUUUAUUGCUGCGACUAUUUCAUUCCCUAGCUUGUGCCCGUCAUUUUUUCCCGUUCAAUUUGUGUCCACAGAAAUGUUUGUAAAAACCCUGUCAAACAUAUCCCGGUAAUGGCUGAAAUGAGCUAAAUGGAAUACAUUGUCUUUCCGUUGUAUCUAUGAAGAACACUAAAGCUUCAUCUGGGAUUUAACGCACCGUCUCGACACUUACAUCACAAGAAAUAUCACUUUUUUUGAUGGGUGUUAAUUGUUUGGGCAAUUGAAAAAAGUAAUCAUUUAGUGCAGUUGAAAUGUUUACUAAUUAA